GCAGUGGCUCAGUGGUAAAGCAUCUGCUUUACAUGCAGAAGACUGCAGGUUCAAUCCCUGUCAUCUCCA